rnacentral:tRNA from 1 species
GGCCGGUUAGCUCAGUCACUUAAGAGCGUGGUGCUCAUAACACCAAGGUCGCGGGUUCGAUCCCCGUUCGGUCC